rnacentral:rRNA from 1 species
GACGAACGCUGGCGGCGUGCCUAAUACAUGCAAGUCGAACGCAGUGGGGACGGGUGAGUAACACGUGGGUAACCUCCCAUCAGAGGGGAUAACACUUGGAUACAGGUGCUAAAACCGAUACUGAUGGAUGGACCCGCGGUGCAUUAGCGAGUUGGUGGGGUAACGGCCCACCAAGGCCACGAUGCAUAGCGGACCUGAGAGGCUGAGCGGCCACACUGGGACUGAGACACGGCCCAGACUCCUACGGGAGGCAGCAGUGGGGAAUAUUCGGCAAUGGGCUAAAGUCUGACCGAGCAACGCCGCGUGAAUGAAGAAGGUUUGCGGAUCGUAAAACUCUGUUGGUAGAGAAGCGGUAUCUAACCAGAAAGCCACGGCUAACUACGUGCCAGCAGCCGCGGUAAUAC